rnacentral:rRNA from 1 species
AACGAACGCUGGCGGCAUGCCUAACACAUGCAAGUCGAACGAACCCUUCGGGGUUAGUGGCGCACGGGUGCGUAACGCGUGGGGAUCUGCCCAAAGGUUCGGAAUAACUCAGAGAAAUUUGAGCUAAUACCGGAUAAUGUCUUCGGACCAAAGAUUUAUUGCCUUUGGAUGAGCCCGCGUAGGAUUAGCUUGUUGGUGGGGUAAAGGCCUACCAAGGCGACGAUCCUUAGCUGGUCUGAGAGGAUGAUCAGCCACGCUGGGACUGAGACACGGCCCAGACUCCUACCGGGAGGCAGCAGUGGGGAAUAUUGGACAAUGGGCGAAAGCCUGAUCCAGCAAUGCCGCGUGAGUGAUGAAGGCCUUAGGGUUGUAAAGCUCUUUUACCAGGGAUGAUAAUGACAGUACCUGGAGAAUAAGCUCCGGCUAACUCCGUG